UACGAGGGGGCAAGCGUUGUCCGGAUUUAUUGGGCGUAAAGAGCGUGUAGGCGGUUUGGUAGGUCCGCUGUGAAAACUCGAGCUCAACCUCGAGACGCCGGUGGAAACCAUCAGACUAGAGUCCGGAAGAGGAGAGUGGAAUUCCUGGUGUAGCGGUGAAAUGCGCAGAUAUCAGGAAGAACACCCGUGGCUAAGGCGGCUCUCUAGUACGGUACUGACGCUGAGACGCGAAAGCGUGGGGAGUGAACAGG
rnacentral:rRNA from 1 species